GGGCUUGUACUGGUUUCGACGGGGGUUUUGAAGUUGCGGAAGCCAUUCGCAGACUCCGGAACUGCGCAUCAAGCCGGAACUUAAAUAUAAACGCAGACGAAGAUUACGCGUUAGCAGCUGCCUAAUUGCAGCUCGUCAGCCUUAGAGCACUCACACUUUAAGAAUCUGGCGUCGACUAUGUGAGAAACCUUGCCGGUUAAGCUUUGCGCCGGCAGAUGUAUGAUGAAGCUACUGAAGUCUUAAGCCUGUCACCGGGCGUGAGAUGGAGGGAAUGUCAAAACAGUGACUGUGAUGGGAGAUGCCGCAAGGGAUAGGCUUUCGGACGCGGGUUCGAUUCCCGCCAGGUCCA
rnacentral:tmRNA from 1 species